rnacentral:lncRNA from 1 species
UCGGCGCGGCGGGGCCGGGCCGGCGCAGCGUGGGACGCGGCGGGAUGGUGCGGAUCCGUGCGCGCUCUCCCCCUGCCUCGGAGUCCUAUUGGGCUGCCGGCGCGGAGCUGCCGACCCGGCUGCGCUGCCUGCCCCGCGUGUUUGUUUAAACAGCCAUUUCCCCGUUCCGCCCCGAGCCUGGCGCCCUCCGUGUUUGCUCAAUCACACCGAAACAGCCAUGCACUGGUUCCAGUGCUCCUGUUUGAAGAGUGUGUAAUAAAACGCCAGAGCAACAGGGAAGAGAGCUACAUCUGGAAAAUGCACUGCAACACAAACUUGGAAAGAUGUCUGUGUUCUGCACUGUGAAAGCUGAGCCCAAAAACUAUUUAAAGGAAAACAACUGCAGAAAACAAAUAAAAAGAGAAGAUUCUUUACAGGCUGAAUUUAUAAUAGCUGAAGGAAUAGAAGACACCAGGCAGAAACCUGUUGUGCGGAAAUUGAAGUGUCAAGGAUCAUCUAUUACAUUUCAUUCCUUUUGCCCAUCUGAAAGGAACUGCAGACAUGAAGAACAUCAUAAAAAUGAUGUGACCAAGCCCAUAGCUUUUCUUGGACAUAGGUUUUGAAUAACAUGGACAUAAUAGUGUUAUGCAUAAAGAAUAAAAUGGUGAAAUCCAGUUUUAAAGGUGAAUAU